CAGGUGGUGCAUGGUUGUCGUCAGCUCGUGUCGUGAGAUGUUGGGUUAAGUCCCGCAACGAGCGCAACCCUUAUUGUUAGUUGCCAUCAUUUAGUUGGGCACUCUAGCGAGACUGCCGGUGACAAACCGGAGGAAGGUGGGGAUGACGUCAAAUCAUCAUGCCCCUUAUGACCUGGGCUACACACGUGCUACAAUGGGAAGUACAACGAGUCGCUAGACCGCGAGGUCAUGCAAAUCUCUUAAAGCUUCUCUCAGUUCGGAUUGCAGGCUGCAACUCGCCUGCAUGAAGCCGGAAUCGCUAGUAAUCGCGGAUCAGCACGCCGCGGUGAAUACGUUCCCGGGCCUUGUACACACCGCCCGUCACACCACGAGAGUUUGUAACACCCGAAGUCGGUGAGGUAACCUUUUUGGAGCCAGCCGCCUAAGGUGGGAUAGAUGAUUGGGGUGAAGUCGUAACAAGGUAGCCGUAUCGGAAGGUGCGGCUGGAUCACCUCCUUU
rnacentral:rRNA from 1 species